rnacentral:lncRNA from 1 species
GGGCAGGGUACAGUUAUCUUCUCUCUCUGUACAUAGACUGUCUUAUGCACUUCAAGUCAUUUUUCUGUAGAUUGAUCUUAGCUGGUCUUUCGGAUAUAUUUUCUGUAGCUUUUCUUUUGCAUGCUGUUCGUAGUAUUUGACGCUCUAACUUUUGUGGGUCUGUCUCAUGUAUAUGUGCAAGAUUUCCACUCAGAACAGCUAGGCAUUGCUCAUCGGUAUAAGCUGUAGCACAGCAGUGUUUUGUAGUACAUUGCCAUCUUAUUUCUCCACUUUUCUUAAUAAAAGCCUGACGAAAUUUAUGGCCAUCUAACACAAC